rnacentral:rRNA from 1 species
AAACCUUACUCGGCCAGGACACUUUUAGGAUUGACAGAUUGAGAGCUCUUUCUUGAUUAGGUGGGUGGUGGUGCAUGGUCGUUCGUAGUUCGUGGAGCGAUUUGUCUGAUUAAUUUCGAUAACGAACGAGACUCCGGCUUACUAAAUAGUCUAAAGUUCGCAGGGACUUUUCAAGACUUCUUAGCAGGAUAAGUGGCACUAAUUAAGCCACACGAAAUGGAGCAAUAACAGGUCUGUGAUGCCCUUAGAUGUCCGAGGCUGCACGCGCGCUACACUGGAGAGUUCAGAAUGUUUCUUCCUACUUCGGCAGAAGUGGGUAACCAUUAAAUUCUCUUCGUGACUGGGAUCGGAGCUUGCAAUUAUUCUCCGUCAACGAGGAAUUCCUAGUAAGCACUAUUUCAUCAGAAUGUGCUGAUUAUGUCCCUGUCCUUUGUACACACCGCCCGUCGCUACUACCGAUUGAAUGUUUUAGUGAGAUCUUCGGCUUGGUUUUCCGAGUGGCUCUCGGGUCGUUCGGUAUAUAUC